AUGUGUAUAUGUAUAUGUAUAUAUAUAUAUGUGUAAAUACAGUAAAGGAAUACAGUACACUAGGAAAUAUGAACAGUCACUGAGGGUUAUCUAAAAAAGGAGAGACUAGGAACACAAGUAAAACAGAACAUAACAAAACAAGGCAUGGGCAAGGUAACCAUAAACAAGGACAUGAAAGCAAAGACAUAAAUUAACCAUAUCAGAAACUAGGGGAAAAUAAAACCACAGUAAUAACAAAAGGUAAGACUAGCCUCAGGUUUGUUCUUUUCAGGUUUGUGCUUUUAUAUGUGAUUGCAUAUUUAUUCCCCCUCCUUCUUUCCCUACUCUCCUGUUCGUAUUCCCCCUUUCUCUGCUCCUCCUCUCUUCGUUCCUCCUGUUUCUGCUCCUCGUUCCCCGAUGUCCCCUUCGUUCACUCCCGGUCCUUUUGUCCCGCCUGUUCCCUCCGUAUUCCCUCCCUUUUCUGAUCUGUUUGUCUGCUUUUCCCGUCCUAUGUCAAGUCCUGUCUUGGCUUCUGCCGCUAUGUCAGUUUUGUCUGUCCGUCUUGUUCCCGGUGCCUCGUUAAAGGUUUUUUUUCUUGUCUUCCAGAUCCUGGUUUCCCGGUCUCGUCUCGUCCGUCGCGUCUCCUGAGGCGCGCCCGGCGAGCGCGCCUUUGGGGGGGGUUCUGUCACACCCAGCUCGUACGAUCCUCGUGUGUGCCACGCCCCCCUGAUUAUCCACGUGUGCUUCCCUGAUUGUAUCCAGCUGUGUCUAGUUAUUUUGAUCUGUCCUGUCUAUUUGAGUCCAAGUCUUGCCUGUGUCCCUUGUCCGUCAUUGAUGUUAGUCAGUGUCUGAUGUUUCCUGCCCUUAGUUGCUCCUUAAUAAAACCCCGUUUACGCCGUAUUCCGCCUGCCUGCCCGCUCCUUGCUUGUUCGCUCGCCUGCCUUUGCGAUCACCCGUUCUCCCAGCGAUCGCAAGCAGCACGCAACUUGACAGAUAUAAGUUCAUGCAUGAGUAUCUCACAUGUCAGUAGGCCUAUCUGAUUAUAUACACUUGCUUAUUAUCCUUUAACAGAAUUUGCCUGACCCAUCUGAAGAUGACGAGGGUCCAUUUACCUAGACAACACAUCUGAGUCCAGUAUGAACUUAUUCCAAAUGUUCUUCGUAUAAGUGAAAGUAUAAUAUUUAGACCAAGGAGCAACGCUGGAGCUCUGUCAGAGUGACCAUCGUGUUCUUGGUCACCUCCUUGACUAAGGCCCUUCUACCACAAUUGGUCGGGCAGCUAGCUCUAGGAAGAGUCCUGGUGGUUCCAAACUUCUUCCAUUUACAGAUGAUGGAGGCCACUGUGCUUACUAGGACCUUCAAUGCUGUAGAUUUUUUUAUGUACCCUUCCUCAGAUCUGUGCCUCGACAAUCCUGUCUCGGAGGUCUACACACAAUUCCUUGGACUUCAUGGCUUGGUUUGUGCUAUGACAGGCACAGUCAACUAUGGGACCUUAUAUGGACAGGUGUGUGCCUUUCCAAAUCAUGUCCAGUCACCUGAAUUUACCAUAAGUGGACUCCAAUCAAGUUGUAGAACCCUCUGAAGGAUGCACCUGAGCUCUAUUCUGAGUGUCAUGGCAAAGGUUGUAAAUACUACUUACACGUUAUAUUUUUAUUUUUAAUAAAUUGGCAAGAAUUUCAAGCAAACUUUUCACUUAAUUAUGGGGUAUUGUGUGUAGAAAAAAAAUUUAUUGAAUCCAUUUUGGAAUAAGGCUGUAACAUAACAAAAGAAAUAGUGAAGUGCUGUGAAUACUUUCCGGAUGAACUGUACAUUCCCUACUAAUCCCUGGGUCAUGCACAGAGCCUAGUCAUUUAGCUUGGGUAUUGAAUAUCAUUUGUGUGAUCUUGACAGUGGACAGAAGUAAGCCCUAAUUACAGGGCUUUGGACCCAACUAGAGAAUGUGUAAGUUCAGAUUUAAUUUGGUUGCAUCUGUGCCAGUGUAUGAUAAUCAUUAGGUUGUUUUGUACCUGUACAGGUACUGCAUUAAUGAUUUGUGAUUGAAUGUUUUUUUUUCCUUCUUCUUCCCUGGUUGUGUGCCUUUUUUUUUCCUGAAAUGAUCUCUCAUUAUGUUAUGUUUCCUGCUAAUUGGUUGGUGCAAUGUUAUACAACAGUGCCAUCUUGUGUAUGUUACAAUUAUAACAUUUGUGUUCUUG